rnacentral:lncRNA from 1 species
UCACACUUGUACUCAUAAACUUCUUAUUGUUGUAUCAGCACACUGGUACAUCGGCAAGGACUAGAAGCAUGACUGCAGAUGCCCCCCAGUCCAGUCAACCGAACAGAAAGGCUCUAAGAGUACCAGAUCACAAGAGAAGCACCAUAAAACAGCAACGCCUUCUCCUCCCCCAGUAUCUCCGAUCCAAGUAGAAUCAUCCCCUUCUCCUCCAGAAACUCAGACACAGCAGAUUCCAUCUCCUUCUCAGUCACAAGAAGAACCCCA